rnacentral:rRNA from 1 species
AAUAUUGGUCAAUGGACGCAAGUCUGAACCAGCCACGUCGCGUGAAGGAAGACGGCCCUCCGGGUUGUAAACUUCUUUUGUAAGGGGAAAAAGUGAGUCACGUGUGAUUUUUUGCAUGUACCUUACGAAUAAGGGUCUGCUAACCUCCUGCCUUCAUCCGCGGUAAUACGGAGGAUCCGAACGUUAUCCGGAUUUAUUGGGUUUAAAGGGUGCGCAGGCGGGGGAUUAAGUCGGCGGUGACAUUUUGCAGCGCAACUGUAAAAGUGCCUUCGAAACUGGUUUCCUUGAGUGUAGAUGAAGUAGGCGGAAUUUGUGGUGUAGCGGUGAAAUGCAUAGAUAUCACGAGGAACUCCGAUUGCGCAGGCAGCUUACUAAGCUACUACUGACGCUCAGGCACGAAGGCGUGGGGAUCAAACAGG